rnacentral:rRNA from 1 species
GAUCAGCACGCCGCGGUGAAUACGUUCCCGGGCCUUGUACACACCGCCCGUCACACCAUGGGAGUUGGCUUUACCCGAAGACGGUGCGCUAACCCAGCAAUGGGAGGCAGCCGGCCACGGUCAGGUCAGCGACUGGGGUGAAGUCGUAACAAGGUAGCCGUAGGGGAACCUGCGGCUGGAUCACCUCCUUU